GACAGAGGGUGCAAACGUUGUUCGGAAUUACUGGGCGUAAAGCGUGUGUAGGCGGUCCGCUAAGUCGGGUGUGAAAGCCCUGGGCUCAACCCAGGAAGUGCACUCGAAACUGGCGGGCUAGAGUAUCGGAGAGGUUGGUGGAAUUCUCGGUGUAGAGGUGAAAUUCGUAGAUAUCGAGAGGAACACCGGUGGCGAAGGCGGCCAACUGGACGAAUACUGACGCUGAGGCACGAAGGCCAGGGGAGCAAACGGG
rnacentral:rRNA from 1 species